rnacentral:rRNA from 1 species
CCAAUAGCGUAUAUUAAAGUUGUUGCAGUUAAAAAGCUCGUAGUUGAAUUUCAGGCCUGGCUGGACGGUCCGCCCUUCGGGUGAGUACUGUCUGUGGUCGGGUCCUACCUUCUGGCGAAGCGUCAUGGCCUUAACCGGCCGUGGCGGGGAACCAGGACUUUUACUGUGAAAAAAUUAGAGUGUUCAAAGCAGGCAAUCGCUUGGAUACAUUAGCAUGGAAUAAUGGAAUAGGACAAUGGUUCUAUUUGUUGGUUUCUAGGACCGUUGUAAUGAUUAAUAGGGAUAGUUGGGGGCAUUAGUAUUAAAUUGUCAGAGGUGAAAUUCUUGGAUUUAUUGAAGACUAACUACUGCGAAAGCAUUUGCCAAGGAUGUUUUCAUUAAUCAAGAACGAAAGUUAGGGGAUCGAAGACGAUCAGAUACCGUCGUAGUCUUAACCACAAACUAUGCCGACUAGGAAUCGGGCGAUGUUGACAAAAUGACGCGCUCGGCACCUCAUG